rnacentral:lncRNA from 1 species
ACAGGGUCUAGCCCACAGCCAACCCUCCAUAGUUGGCGGUAAUUAUUAUGAUGCUGUCAUUGUUGUUGCAAUUGUCACACAGUACACUGUCAAGGGUUCAUUCCAGUAUUUGCCCUCAGGAUGUGGGAUAAGACCGGGCCUUUAGCAGGCACUUAAUUAUAAGGUUUGUCGGACAGGAUUUAAUCUCUUUGUGUGGAUGAAUCUUUCCAUGCCUCCUUCAAGGCAGAUGACCAUUCUUUUCAGAAGACAGGCUUAGGGUGGUAGUUUCCUUUAUAAAGGAAUGUUAACAACAGUUGAAAAUAUCUGUUCAAUAUAUUUUUUGUGCUGCCAGUUCUUAGUCAUCUUUUAAUUAAAAGUACUUUUUAUUGAAUGUUAAACUGUCAAGAUUGUCUUUGUGUGAAGAGUGGGGAGGUUGCCAUGGAGAGGUUCAUGUUGCUAUGUGACUCUUGUGUCAGAACCGGAAUCAAAAUGGUAAUGGUCAUGUCAAUUCCGAUAAAAAAAAAAAAAAAAAGAUCCUCAACAGCUUCAUUAAAAAGGGGAACUUUUAUUUCUUCCUUUCUUGUCAUUGUGCCAAGAAUAACAGAAGGGGAAAUAUUGGAUUUUGUAAAGAGGCAGACAAUGGGGCCAGCUGCCUGCACUGUUGAUGAGGAUUUUGCUUGGAGUUAACACCUCAGAAUGCCGGUGUCUCCUGGUCCAUCUGGCUGGAUCCAAUAAUUUCCCUUCUGAAGUGGAUGCAAUCACAUUUCUGCACUGGCUGUCUCUAUGGUGAGCUAAUUAAGGGAACCUUUGCUCCGCCUCUGCUCCACGUCCAGCAGCGAUGUGGAUUUUCUAUGCAACACAACGGGUAUAAAAAUGGAGGCUACAUAUUGUAGUGCUUGAGCCUAGCGGGAAGAUGUUAUGGGUUGAAUUGUGUUCACCCAAAAGAUGUCAAAGUCCUCAUCCCCAGUACCUG